GUGAAUUAUUAUGCGAAAAGAAUGCAGCUGCUCUGACUAAAAAUAAUCUAGACAAUAAUAUGUUUAAAGGUAAUCUAUAUUUUAUUAUCGACUGGUAAAAUGUGUAUCGCCAUCUUUCGGUACUAGAUAUUACUUCAAUGUACCGACUAGUAAAAUGAUGCUGCCAUCUAGCGGAAGUAAAUGUUACUAUGUCUUACCGAUUAGUAGAAUAUGUUUCGCCAUCUAGACAAAAGAUAAAAAACCACUAGGACAAAAUCAAGAUGGCUACCUGUCAAUGUAAUUUGAAUACCGUAAAUACAGGCUGUGUGCAGUUGAUCGCCAAUUCUGGAUGAAAAUAAUUAAACUGGAUAAAGUGCUGUGGGACAGUGUUAUGUNAUA